GAGAGUAAUCACUCCCGUGGUCUGUUAUGCCUCGUCAUUAUCUGUGUAUAGUAGAGAUAUCUUGGUGUAUAGCACCAAGCACAGGACUUGGACAGAGUUAACCACUCAAUAAACAGCAGCCAUGGCCGUCGUCAGGAGCAUUGUGGAGCACUGGAUGCUGUCGCUGGUAUAAGGCCCAGACAUGACGGUGCAGAGGACAUCAGGACCAGCAGGACAUAAAAC
rnacentral:lncRNA from 10 species